rnacentral:rRNA from 1 species
GAUGAACGCUGGCGGCGUGCCUAAUACAUGCAAGUCGAGCGAACAGACGAGGAGCUUGCUCCUCUGACGUUAGCGGCGGACGGGUGAGUAACACGUGGAUAACCUACCUAUAAGACUGGGAUAACUUCGGGAAACCGGAGCUAAUACCGGAUAAUAUAUUGAACCGCAUGGUUCAAUAGUGAAAGACGGUUUUGCUGUCACUUAUAGAUGGAUCCGCGCCGCAUUAGCUAGUUGGUAAGGUAACGGCUUACCAAGGCAACGAUGCGUAGCCGACCUGAGAGGGUGGUCGGCCACACUGGAACUGAGACACGGUCCAGGCUCCUACGGGAGGCAGCAGUAGGGAAUCUUCCGCAAUGGGCGAAAGCCUGACGGAGCAACGCCGCGUGAGUGAUGAAGGUCUUCGGAUCGUAAAACUCUGUUAUUAGGGAAGAACAAAUGUGUAAGUAAAUAUGCACGUCUUGACGGUACCUAAUCAGAAAGCCACGGCUAACUACGUG